rnacentral:rRNA from 1 species
UACGAAGGGUGCAAGCGUUACUCGGAAUUACUGGGCGUAAAGCGUGCGUAGGCGGUUAUGCAAGACAGAUGUGAAAUCCCCGGGCUCAACCUGGGAACUGCAUUUGUGACUGCAUGGCUAGAGUACGGUAGAGGGGGAUGGAAUUCCGCGUGUAGCAGUGAAAUGCGUAGAUAUGCGGAGGAACACCGAUGGCGAAGGCAAUCCCCUGGACCUGUACUGACGCUCAUGCACGAAAGCGUGGGGAGCAAACAGG